AAAGUAUAGAAUGUUUUUUAUAAAAAUCUUAGCUAAAUUCAAGUAGCUAAAAUAUUAUUUGAAUCAAGUUUAAGUAUCACUUAGUUACCCAUAGUAUAGUUAUACAACAUAGAUUUAUUUUGGAAAUGUGUUUAUAAUUUUCACAAUUGAUGUGAAUUUUAAUAGCUUGCUAUUAAUAGCUUGAAUUUAAUUGGUUCAUUUCUUCUUUUGUUUGAUUAAGCUUGAAGAUUCAAUCAAGAAGCUUCAAUCAUGUGGUUUGAAGAAACUAAACCGAUAAAUUCAGCAAGCAACCCAGCACUAAGUAAAACAAAAUCAUAUUUCCAUUCGACAUCAAGACACCAAUUGGGGAACGUUUCAGAUACCAACGUUGAAUAUGGAAUGGCAAUGAUGCAAUACCAUAUCUAAUGCAGAGUAAUGUUCCUUGUUUCAUAAUACUAGUUUCAUUACACUUCUCAAUACUUAUUAUAAUUUCUAAUGAGAUUAGUGGAUGGAGAGAUGAGAAAUUUUCAAUCACUGAUUAAUAUGAACUUGUUUUCUUUUCUAAUGUGAUAAUUACAGAGUAAUUGCGAGAUCAGGAUUUUCGAAACUGGUGCUCCAAUCACUUUUCUCAACUGGUUUUGCAUGCCGGAAAAAAUGAAUUUGAAUUUACUACGUUUAAUGAGUGUACUGCGAUUUGCUCCGGGCUGACUGGGAUCGCGGUAAUUUUUCUCCAGCUGGGAGAAACUACCUGUUAUCAAAAGAAAUGGAAAGUGACUACUUUGAAAAGGCGAGAAGAGUGACAAGGAAGAAAGCCGACUUGCCAGGGACUUGUCUAUUGCCCAUCACUUCCGAGCAGACUCAUUUUAAUGCCAGUCUUUCUGCAAUCACCCAACUGCACAGAAUGAGAUCGUUUUUAUUGUUUCCAGCAUUUUACUUGGUUGUGUUGACCGGUAGAGCAGAGGCAGGCGAAGGAAUUACAGCGUUCAGUUUCUUGCUAGGACAAGCCACCGACGACACAGUCCACCAGAUCCAUUUUCGGCCUGAGGACAGCGCCAAGUUCAGGAAGAAGUUCGAGGCCAAGCAUGGACCCAGAGGCAGUCUGCUUAUAGAAAAACUCGGCAGAGGCUACUCUGAGGAAGUUCCUUCUAUCCUGGAGGAUGAUCAUGCCAUUACCAAGCCACCAGUGAAGAAGGUGAAAAAUGUGAAGGCCAGAGGGAAGAAGAAUAUUGCAUUGACUACCACUGUAGGCACACCCACAACGAUCGCUCCAACCACCAUUGACUACUCAACGUUGGAGACGACUUACUCGACAGGCACUCCUUACGGCACCACUGAUUACUACCCUACCACUACAGACAUCUUCCAAUCAACAGUCCUACUGUAAAUGGGGGAGUGAAGACGCGAAUAUUGUGCCAUCGGAGUAGACUUGAAGCAAAGCAAGUUGCGACAACAUCAGCCAACAGCCAACAGUGUUGUAAUGAAUUGAUUAGGUAGGCUGCUGAGAGAUGAGGAUGCGAAUAAGUGACGUGCUUUUGAGAACAUCCUUGCAUCCUCGAAAUCCUUGCUUUGCAAACACGGAAGAAAAUGGGAGUCUCCUUUUCAACAGCAAGUUUCAGGAUCCUUGGAACUGUUUCGAUGGUUGUCAAUUGUUGGCUAUUUCCUAUCUGGGGAUUUGAAGAUAAGUGGCAGACUACAGUACAGUAGCGUAGUAAUGCAAUUGACGCGGCUAUGAAAGUGGAACAGC
rnacentral:misc_RNA from 1 species